rnacentral:misc_RNA from 1 species
GAUUAAGAACGUAGCGAAAUGCGAUAAGUAGUGUGAAUUGCAGAAUUCAGUGAAUCAUCGAAUCUUUGAACGCACAUUGCGCCCCUUGGUAUUCCAUGGGGCAUGCCUGUUCGAGCGUCAUUUGUACCUUCAAGCUCUGCUUGGUGUUGGGUGUUUGUCUCGCCUCUGCGUGUAGACUCGCCUCAAAACAAUUGGCAGCCGGCGUAUUGAUUUCGGAGCGCAGUACAUCUCGCGCUUUGCACUCAUAACGACGACGUCCAAAAGUACAUUUUUACACUCUUGACCUCGGAUCAGGUAGGGAUACCCGCUGAACUUAAGCAUAUCAAUAGCGGAGGA